rnacentral:rRNA from 1 species
AGCGAACGCUGGCGGCAGGCUUAACACAUGCCAGUCGAACGGGCAUCUUCGGAUGUCAGUGGCAGACGGGUGAGUAACACGUGGGAACGUACCCUUCGGUUCGGAAUAACUCAGGGAAACUUGAUCUAAUACCGGAUACGCCCUUUUGGGGAAAGGUUUACUGCCGAAGGAUCGGCCCGCGUCUGAUUAGCUUGUUGGUGGGGUAACGGCCUACCAAGGCGACGAUCAGUAGCUGGUCUGAGAGGAUGAUCAGCCACACUGGGGCUGAGACACGGCCCAGAAUCCUACGGAAGGGGGCAGUGGGGGAUAUUGGAAAAUGGGCGCAAGCCUGAUCCAGCCAUGCCGGGUGAGUGAUGAAGGCCUUAGGGUUGUAAAGCUCUUUUGUCCGGGACGAUAAUGACGGUACCGGAAGAAUAAGCCCCGGCUAACUUCGUG